AUAUCUUUCUCAACCUUUUAACUAAGAUCAAGUGUAGUAUCAGUUCUUAUCAGUUUAAUAUCUGAUAUGUGAGCCAUGUGCCCAUUUUGAUAUUAAAUUUAUUUUUUUGAGAAGGGUCUUACUAUAGUGGCUUGCCACUAAGGCGCUUGCGUGUUGCACUACAGCCUUAGCCUAGGGCACGCCAAUAAA